CACUGGCUCAGAACGAACGCUGGCGGCAUGCCUAACACAUGCAAGUCGAACGAGACCUUCGGGUCUAGUGGCGCACGGGUGCGUAACGCGUGGGAAUCUGCCCUUGGGUUCGGAAUAACAGAGAGAAAUUUCUGCUAAUACCGGAUGAUGACGUAAGUCCAAAGAUUUAUCGCCCAAGGAUGAGCCCGCGUAGGACUAGCUAGUUGGUGAGGUAAAGGCUCACCAAGGCGACGAUCCUUAGCUGGUCUGAGAGGAUGAUCAGCCACACUGGGACUGAGACACGGCCCAGACUCCUACGGGAGGCAGCAGUGGGGAAUAUUGGACAAUGGGCGAAAGCCUGAUCCAAGCAAUGCCGCGUGAGUGAUGAAGGCCUUAGGGUUGUAAAGCUCUUUUACCCGGGAUGAUAAUGACAGUACCGGGAGAAUAAGCUCCGGCUAACUCCGUGCCAGCAGCUGC
rnacentral:rRNA from 1 species